GAUGAACGCUGGCGGCGUGCCUAAUACAUGCAAGUCGAGCGAACAGACGAGGAGCUUGCUCCUCUGACGUUAGCGGCGGACGGGUGAGUAACGCGUGGAUAACCUACCUAUAAGACUGGGAUAACCUCGGGAAACCGGAGCUAAUACCGGAUAAUAUAUUGAACCGCAUGGUUCAAUAGUGAAAGACGGUUUUGCUGUCACUUAUAGAUGGAUCCGCGCCGCAUUAGCUAGUUGGUAAGGUAACGGCUUACCAAGGCAACGAUGCGUAGCCGACCUGAGAGGGUGAUCGGCCACACUGGAACUGAGACACGGUCCAGACUCCUACGGGAGGCAGCAGUAGGGAAUCUUCCGCAAUGGGCGAAAGCCUGACGGAGCAACGCCGCGUGAGUGAUGAAGGUCUUCGGAUCGUAAAACUCUGUUAUUAGGGAAGAACAAAUGUGUAAGUAACUAUGCACGUCUUGACGGUACCUAAUCAGAAAGCCACGGCUAACUACGUG
rnacentral:rRNA from 1 species